AAUAUGGCUCUUUAAGAACUCUCAGCUUAUUAAUAUGGCUCUUUAAGAACUCUCAGCUUAUUAAUAUGGCUCUUUAAGAACUCACAGCUUAUUAAUAUGGCUCUUUCAGCCAAAAAGGUUGUCCAGCUACUGUAUGAGGUGGAGUAUUGCUUGUAUGUGAUAAUGUGCCUUGAAUUACAGAUUAAAAAAAUACAAUUGUAUUUACAAAGUUACACCUGUGUGCUCAAAGAGCUCUGAAAGUAAAGAGGGUGAUGUUUGAAGUUAUUUAAUGCUAAAAGGAAUUUGAUGGGAAGUUUUUCUGUGCCUCUAAGGAAAAGACAGCUGUCACCAUUACAGGCAACAGGUUCUACCAGCAGUCCAGUGCUACACAAUGUGAAUCCGAAAAAAUGUUUUACUCAAGUCAAUUGUAAAUAGAAAAGGCAGGUUAUCAUGGACGGAGUAACUCAGACCCUGGGGUUACACAUUUCAGGAACUUAUGUUACACAACCAGCACCAGAUCAAUGAUGCCUUUCGAUCGCUUCCGAUGAGUGGAGAGCUGAACACACAUCACCCUGAGCCACUAGCUCUCCAUCGGUUAGAUCUGAUCUCUACUCACCUAUACAGACGAUGUCCAUGAAGCCGUACAUGCCGUAGCAGAUCUGGAAGAGCAGGUCCUGGCGUUGCCACUUGGCGGAGGGGCUGAAUGACGACCAGAAGAGCCAGGAGAUGCUGGCAAUGAGGAAGAGCGUGCCCAGGACGGCAGCCACAAUCUGCACCUUCUCAAUCACUGUCAGAGAGAUGGCCUGCCACUGCCACACCAUAGAGGAAAUGCUAUCAGAGCCCUGAAGACUGACCCUCAAACUCGCAUAGAGGGACACUUGUAGCAUACAGUAGUACUGCUUGGUUACAAACUCAGAUCAGCAUUUCAUCAACAAAUUAUGAUGUGUUUGUUUUGUUAUAUAGGCUAGGAGUCUAUGAUAUUUGGAGAUCUGUGAAAAUUCAAGGCAGAUAUUGUCUUCACUGUAGAUAGACACGAUCAAAACUGCAUAAACUUAAGAGAUGUAUGGAACAUACAGGAAGAAUAAUAGUGCUUGGAUGGUGUAGAAUGAGUAGGUGGUUCAAUUAUAACACAAGUUAGCUUUAAUCAAUUCACAUUUAAGGGCACUAACAAUCUGUCUUAAAUAAGUUCAAAAAGCAUGAGUGCAUUUAGAGCACUUCCCAUUUGGGUGAGCUUUGAGUGGUGGCGCUGACCUGCAGUGGGUUCUUGGUGCUGAUAGCGAUGACGUGGUAUUUGUAGUAGCAGAGCUCACAGCUCCAGGAUCCCCUCUCACUGACCCACUUGAUCAGGCAGGGCUGGUGGGUGGACCGGACCGAACCUUUGCAGUGGCAUGGGCUCAGCAGCUCCCCCUACAGGGAAGAGACAAGUAGAAAACGUUGUUCCACUGGUAUAUCAUUUUUGCUAAAUGGGAUAUGGCUGGCUAAUACAGCUUCCCAGGGAGCUGACUGUUUGAACAGCCCAAGGGAGUUCAUCCUCCUGUCUUUCACACCCUCCCUUUAUCCUAACUCUUCCACCACUGAGGAGACAGACCUCGUAGCCAUGAGGUUGAACUCUGGUCCCAAAGGUUCCCUUAUAAUGUUUACCACAGUAAAUUUGCACUGUAAUUUUGCAGUUUUAAUAAUGCACACCUAUGUUUUACCACACUUUCACAAUAGUUUAUUGCACUUUGCUGUGCUUUUACUACGGGAAACUUUUAUAAGUGUCUAUCUAGUCCAGCUUUUUUUUUUUUUGCAUUUAAUAUUUUUGUGAUUUUUUGGUUUUGCUUUUCAUGGCUCUUUAAGUACUCUCUGGUCUUUGAUAUGGUUUUUUAUGUAUGUUAAAUUAAUUCACCAGGUGUUGUUACCCAGUGUGUAAGAGAAGUUAUUCUAAUGAGAUGAGAGUAGCGCUGUGUGAUUAAAUUACACACUCCAGGAGCAGGGUGUUAAUGGACUAAGGGGUGAACUUUUCUGCAGAUUUCCACCCCCAUCUUCCCUGAAGCAAUGAGAGGCUGUAAUUAUUAAACAUUGAAUCAGUGCUGUAUAAGCGCAAUUACACACUCCACUAUCAUAUACAAUGUAGUGUGUUAUUACUUUGAAAAACACAAAAGAACUGCAAAAUUACUGUGGUGAGCUUUUAAGAAUUCCUCCUAUUCACAGUGUUAUGCAGUAGUUUCUAAGUGUUUAACAUGUAUCAAAUCUAGUAUUAGUAUUAACAGUAGUAUUAAUGUAGUACCAGUUAACUUUUAUUACAAGCAGGUCAGAAAGUAUAAUCUCUGAUCUGACUGCAUCAAGACCAUUAGAGUAACGUUCACCUACAGCACAGGAAGCGAUUAGAUAUCACCAUUUACAUGCAGGAAAAUAAUUAAAGUAAAAAAAAGUAACUAGUACAUCAUCAUUACACUUAUAAGGGGGCAGUGAUAAUGCUGCAAAUACCAAUGAGAGUAAGAGAUAAUACAAUGGAUUUAAAAAGCCUUGCGUAACACUCCUUUUGGAAUACAUACAGGUCAACAAUGAAGAGAGUAAUCUAUCAUCUUCAUUAUGGUUUCACCCAGUUACCGAUAAUCAUGUCCUCUGGCAUUCCCUGUGUGACAGACUGGCAGUACUGGGCAAGGACCCACUCUCAGCAUGAUUAAAGGCAGGCAAGCAUGUGUUAUCAUAUGAUGUAUGAUGUCUGUUGUGUGCUUCACCAAGGUUCACUCUACUUCCAUCAGACAGCCAUUGAUCUGGGGACAGCCUCCUCUAUGAUCAACUAAACUAAGAAUCUAAUUGUUUAUGAACGCCUUCUUAAGAUCUGACUGCUCGACCAGUACAGAACCUUCUGUUCCGUCUGUCUGUCUUCUUAUUCCAUUUCGUCUGCAUAUUAAUCGAUUAGUCUCUUGCCCACCGUGCUGUAAUAUUUUAAUAUGUCAUGUGUAGGGUGUCUCUUAUUGUAAUCUUGUGUGGUUCUCGCUGCUCAAAUCAUGCAACAAUUAUGGUAUAAUAAGAGACAUACAACACAUAUUAACUUAUUAUAAAUAGAAGAUUGUACUCAUGAGCAACUAAACUUAAAACAAUUAAACCUAAAAAAAUUGUUGCUUUUUGCCAAUACAUGCACUGUCUCUUAUAAAUAUUUACUGUGGUUUCCAAGGUGAAGAACAUGCAUGGGGACUGCUAUCUGAUUACCUAAUUUUAUAAUGUUAUGUCAUGCUGUUCCAUUCUUACCGUAUUAUCACAAAUAUAAGCUCAUAAGGGUUCACUUUUAUGCAAAUAUAGGCACAUUAAUG